GGAGAGAUGCCCGAGUUGGCUGAAGGGGCACGCCUGGAAAGCGUGUGUACGUUUUCGCGUACCCAGGGUUCGAAUCCCUGUCUCUCCGCCA
rnacentral:tRNA from 1 species